rnacentral:rRNA from 1 species
GAUGAACGCUAGCGGCAGGCCUAACACAUGCAAGUCGAGGGGCAGCACAGAAACAGCAAUGUUUUUGUGGCGACCGGCGGACGGGUGCGUAACGAGUAUGCAACCUACCUUUAACAGGGGGAUAACGGAGAGAAAUUUCCACUAAUACCCCAUAACAUCGAUCAAGGCAUCUUGAUUGGUUGAAAACUCCGGUGGUUAAAGAUGGGCAUGCGUUGUAUUAGGUAGUUGACGAGGUAAUGGCUCACCAAGCCUACGAUAAAUAGGGGGACUGAGAGGUUCGCCCGCACCGAUGGUACUGAGACACGGACCAGACUCCUACGGGAAGCAUCAGUGAGGAAUAUUAGUCAAUGUGGCAACCCUGAACCAGCAAUGACGCGUGCAGGAAGACGGCUCUAUGAGUUGUAAACUGCUUUUAAACAGGGAUAACGCACAGUAUGUAUACUGUGUUGAAGGUACUGUAAGAAUAAGGAUCGGCUAACUCCGUGCCAGCCGCCGCUGUAA